CGGGGUGAGUAACGCGUGGGCAACCUGCCUUAUACAGGGGGAUAACAGCUGGAAACAGCUGCUAAUACCGCAUAAGCGUACAGCGGCGCAUGACGCAGUGUGAAAAACUGAGGUGGUAUAAGAUGGGCCCGCGUCUGAUUAGCUGGUUGGGAGGGUAACGGCCUACCAAGGCGACGAUCAGUAGCCGGCCUGAGAGGGCGGACGGCCACAUUGGGACUGAGACACGGCCCAGACUCCUACGGAAGGCAGCAG
rnacentral:rRNA from 1 species